rnacentral:lncRNA from 1 species
UGGCGGCAUUAUCUGUUACCACUUAUUUAUUACAUCAUUUAUUGAAUAGUUGGAUAGAAAGUAUGUAUUUUCUCUUCUACCGGUUGCAGCAAUCAUCCUAUUGUACACCUGGAAUGUUACUAAUAGUGCAAUGUGGAAUUUGUUGUAUAUUUUACAGUUAUAGUUAGAAUGUUUUCAAAGUUUGGUGCUUUCAUUUUUGCAGCCUGAUCUGAUGUCCAUGAGAUUGUUUUUAACUAUAAUCUGUAGAUGUAGAAAAUGGGAGAAGUUUCAAAUGAGCAGAAGCAGCAUUUCACCAUCAUUAUAGGGGUAUUUACUAAACUAUCCAAGGG